rnacentral:rRNA from 1 species
CAGCAGCCGCGGUAAUACGUAGGUGGCGAGCGUUAUCCGGAUUUACUGGGCGUAAAGCGCGUGCAGGCGGUUCCGUAAGUCGGACGUGAAAGCUCCUGGCUUAACUGGGAGAGGUCGUUCGAUACUGCGGGACUUGAGGUUGGGAGAGGGACGUGGAAUUCCCGGUGUAGUGGUGGAAUGCGUAGAUAUCGGGAGGAACACCAGUGGCGAAGGCGGCGUCCUGGCCCGCACCUGACGCUAAGACGCGAAAGCGUGGGUAGCGAACGGGAUUAGAUACCCCGGUAGUCCACGCCGUAAACGGUGGAUACUAGGUGUUGGUGGCUAUCGUCAUCAGUGCCGUAGCUAACGCGUUAAGUAUCCCGCCUGGGGACUACGGCCGCAAGGCUAAAACUCAAAGGAAUUGACGGGGGCCCGCACAAGCAGCGGAGCGUGUGGUUUNNNNNNNNNNNACACGAAGAACCUUACCUGGGCUUGACAUGUACGUAGUAGUGAAGCGAAAGCGGAUCGAUCCCUUGGGAAGCGUACACAGGUGCUGCAUGGCUGUCGUCAGCUCGUGCCGUGGGGUGUUCGGUUAAGUCCGGUAACGAGCGCAACCCUUGCUGUUAGUUACAUGUGUCUAACGGGACUGCCGGUUUAAUGCCGGAGGAAGGUGGGGAUGACGUCAAGUCAGCAUGGCCUUUAUGUUCAGGGCUACACACACGCUACAAUGGCUGGUACAAUGGGUUGCCAAGCCGCGAGGUGGAGCUAAUCCCCCAAAGCCGGUCUCAGUUCGGAUUGUAGGCUGCAACUCGCCUGCAUGAAGUCGGAGUUGCUAGUAACCGCGCGUCAGCUAUAGUGCGGUGAAUGCGUUCCCGGGCCUUGUACACACCGCCCGU